rnacentral:pre_miRNA from 1 species
UCUUAUGGAUAUGCAAAGAAAGUGGUUUCUUGAGAUGGAAUCUACUCCCGGUGAGGAUGCUGCAAA